rnacentral:rRNA from 1 species
CCUACGGGGGGCUGCAGUGGGGGAUAGUGGACAAUGGGGGAAACCCUGAUCCAGCGACGCCGCGUGAGUGAAGAAGGAUUUCGGGAUGUAAAGCUCUAUCAGCAGGGAAGAAAGAAAUGACGGUAGCGGAGUAAGAAGCCACGGCUAACUCCGGGCCAGCAGCCGCGGGAAUACGUAGGGGGCAAGCGUUAGCCGGAAUUACUGGGGGGAAGGGGAGCGUAGACGGUAAUGCAAGUCUGGAGGGAAAGGCGGGGGCCCAACCCCCGGCCUGCUCUGGAAACGGUGUAACUGGAGUGCAGGAGAGGCAGGCGGACUUCCUCGUGUAGCGGUGAAAUGCGUCGAUAUUAGGAGGAACACCAGUGGCGACGGCGGCCUGCUGGACUGUACCUGACGUUGCGGCUCGAACGCGUGGGGAGCAAACAGGAUUAGAUACCCUUGUAGUC